AACGAACGCUGGCGGCAUACCUAACACAUGCAAGUCGAACGAGACCUUCGGGUCUAGUGGCGCACGGGUGCGUAACGCGUGGGAACCUGCCCUUAGGUUCGGAAUAACUCCCCGAAAGGGGUGCUAAUACCGGAUAAUGUCUUCGGACCAAAGAUUUAUCGCCUUUGGAUGGGCCCGCGUUGGAUUAGCUAGUUGGUAGGGUAAAAGCCUACCAAGGCGACGAUCCAUAGCUGGUCUGAAAGGAUGAUCAGCCACACUGGGACUGAGACACGGCCCAGACUCCUACGGGAGGCAGCAGUGGGGAAUAUUGGACAAUGGGCGAAAGCCUGAUCCAGCAAUGCCGCGUGAGUGAUGAAGGCCUUAGGGUUGUAAAGCUCUUUUACCCGGGAUGAUAAUGACAGUACCGGGAGAAUAAGCUCCGGCUAACUCCGUG
rnacentral:rRNA from 1 species